rnacentral:rRNA from 1 species
AACGAACGCUGGCGGCAUGCCUAACACAUGCAAGUCGAACGGACCCUUCGGGGUUAGUGGCGCACGGGUGCGUAACGCGUGGGAAUCUGCCCUUUGCUUCGGAAUAACAGUUAGAAAUGACUGCUAAUACCGGAUGAUGUCUUCGGACCAAAGAUUUAUCGGCAAAGGAUGAGCCCGCGUAGGAUUAGGUAGUUGGUGGGGUAAAGGCCUACCAAGCCGACGAUCCUUAGCUGGUCUGAGAGGAUGAUCAGCCACACUGGGACUGAGACACGGCCCAGACUCCUACGGGAGGCAGCAGUGGGGAAUAUUGGACAAUGGGCGCAAGCCUGAUCCAGCAAUGCCGCGUGAGUGAUGAAGGCCUUCGGGUCGUAAAGCUCUUUUACCAGGGAUGAUAAUGACAGUACCUGGAG